GGCGCUCUGUUACUUUCCCCUGCUUGUCUGUAACUAAUGGCAACGCAGUCCUUCCUCUGCUCGGCGUUCGGCUUUUCCAGUCUGAAUCUAGUGACGUCACAUUCCUGUCAGAUUCCGGGGCCUGUGAUUGGCUGGGCUGUCAGAGCUCGCGGAGCAUUGUGGGAAGAUGGAGAGCAGCGUGGGGAAACUGGAGGAAGCGGCGCUCAAACGGAAAGAGAGACUGAACGAGCUGAGAAAGAAACGGGU